rnacentral:lncRNA from 1 species
UUCGGUAUUUAAAAAAUCAUCAAGAACUUCGAGUAAAUUUGACUUUUGCCUUAUAAAUGCUACACGCACCUUGUUAAUGUUAAUGAUUUAAUUAACCGCGUACCCGAUAAUAUUAGUAUAACCUAUUUCACCUACUUUUGUACUUCAGAACUAAGAUUAGUUACUCCUGAAGUCUUUUUAUUUAUUUUAAUUUCACUUCGAACUUCGAAAAAAUUAUAUGGAGGCAGCAUACGUAAUCGUAUUAUUAAUUUACAUAUACAUUUAUAGCGUGCAUGGGUUUAUUUUAAUCACAUAGAUUUUGACCCCUUAUUGAAUUCAGUUAAGUUUUAAUUUUUACUAAAAGUGUUGGUACAAGCAAACUAGUACUCUAUAUAAAAAAGAAGGUGAGUUGACCAAAAAAAACAAAA